rnacentral:rRNA from 1 species
AUGGAUGCCAAUUCUGCCGGCACUGAUGUAUCUGCUGAUCAUGUCAUUGCCGAGUUGCUUGAGAUGGGGUUCGAGUUCGACAAGAUCAGUGAAGCCAUCGGUGUUGUCGGUCCGUGCCGUGCUGACGUGGUGGAGUUUGUGCUGAAUGGUUCUGGUAGUGCACAAAGAAAGCCAGGUGGGGGGUCGCAAAGACGCUCUUCUGACAGGAGUGCUAGACUGGCUAAUCCCAGGGGGAAAUUUAAGCAGUCUAGCAUUACUGAUCAUAUCGCGUCAACCACUGGCAGUAAAACCGAGUCUUGUGGCGAGGAGCCAAGUACCUCAUAUUCUUGUUUAGCGGCCAACAUGAACCCUGCAUCGACUGCUGCUCUCUGUUUUCAACCAAAGCCAAAACAUCAGACUUUGGUUGAUGAUCCUAGAGGCGAGUUUGACCGGACCGACAAAAUUUGUGCUGUUUUGCAAAAGCAUUUUGGAUUCUCCUGUGUGAAGAGUUUCCAAAAGGAAGCCUUGGAUGCUUGGUUUGCUCACAAGGAUUGUCUUGUUCUAGCAGCAACUGGAUCAGGGAAGUCACUUUGCUUUCAGAUUCCAGCUCUUUUGACUACGAAGGUUGUGGUGGUGAUCUCACCCUUGAUUAGUUUGAUGCACGACCAGUGCCUAAAACUUGCAAAACAUGGGAUAUCAGCAUGCUUCCUUGGAUCAGGGCAACCAGAUAAUCGUGUUGAGGGCAAAGCCAUGGCUGGCAUGUAUAAGAUUAUUUAUGUUUGCCCCGAGACAGUUUUAAGACUGAUGGAACCAUUGAAGAAACUUGCAGAAAAACCAGGGAUCGCACUUUUUGCCAUUGACGAGGUUCAUUGUGUUUCUAAAUGGGGUCAUGAUUUCCGACCUGAUUAUAGGAAACUGUCUGUGCUUCGACAAAAUUUCUGUUCCAGCAAAUUGAAGUUCUUGGAACAUGAUAUUCCUUUGAUGGCAUUGACUGCUACUGCAACUCUCCCUGUACGAGAAGACAUUCUCAAGUCCUUGAAAAUGUCAGAACUUACAGUGGUUGUCUUGACGUCCUUUUUCCGACAAAACCUUCGAUUUAAUGUAAAGCACAGUAAAACCUCUGCCUCAUCAUAUGGAAAGGACUUUCAAGAACUAAUAGGGACUUACAACGCUUCAAGGAAUUUCAAGGGGAAAAGCCAGAAAAUUCUUCAUGAAGUUGAGCCUGAGUCUGAAAGCAGCUCAUACGAGUCACUGGACGAUAGUGCAUCAGAUGACGAAGAUGCAAUUGCUGAUAAAACUAAACUUGCCAAGUCUUUCGUAAAAGAAAAUGCUGAACAUGAGCUGGAUCAGUAUCCAGGAGUAGAUGAUUUUGAUGUUUCAUGUGGAGAGUUCCUUGAAAGCUCGCGACCUGAGAGCUUUGCCUUUCCUGUUCAAUCCCAUGAAACUAGUUCAUCAGAAAGUUUGGAUCAAGGUCCUACAAUUGUUUAUGUACCCACGAGAAAAGGAACUGUGGAACUAGCUAACUAUCUGUGCAAAUCAGGCCUCAAAGCUGCAGCGUAUAAUGCAAAGAUGCCUAGAUCACAUUUGAGGCAGGUGCACGAGCAGUUCCAUAGCAAUGCCUUAGAGGUUGUUGUGGCUACUAUAGCAUUUGGCAUGGGAAUUGACAAAUCAAAUGUCAGGAGAAUUAUUCACUACGGUUUACCGCAGAGUUUGGAAGCGUAUUAUCAAGAAGCUGGUCGUGCUGGUAGAGAUGGGAAGUUGUCAGAUUGCACUUUAUAUUGUAAUUUUAUGAGAACACCGACAUUGCUUCCUAACAAAAGAAGCGACGAACAGACAAGGGCAGCAUAUAGAAUGCUACGGGAUUGCUUUCACUAUGCUUUGAACACUUCAACAUGUAGAGCCAGAAUACUAGUAAAGUACUUUGGUGAGGAAUUUGGUCCUGACGGGUGCCAAAUGGACAUGUGGGGCUCAGGCCUAGAUGUCAGUGAUUCAACAAGGAUCUCUUUAAAACUUGCAUUUUCGUGUGACGUCUGUAUUAAUGGCCCUCCUGAAAUGCAUGAUUUCAAGGAAGAAGCAGUUGUGUUCAUGAAUGUGCUCCAAGCUCAAGCUGGACAAGCAAUUGAAGGUAUGGACUACAACAGUACAGACUGUUAUAUAUCUGGAAGGCGAAAUUUUGGGGCGGUACCUGAUUUCAGAACGAUAGUCAGUUAUAUAAGAGAGAAGAUUCCUAGGUUUGCCGUGACAGACAAGAUAUGGUGGCAAGGCCUUGCUCGUAUUUUAGAGGACAUGGGAUACAUACAGGAAGCAGCUGAAAUUCCUCGUGUUCUAAUCCAGCAUCCAGAGCUGACAAGAGCCGGAUUAAAUUUUCUGAGUUCACAACCAGACAAGGAAGGCUUAUACGCAUACCCUGAUGCCGCUACGUUACUGGCGAUUAGUAACCCAAAGUCCUUCUCUUCUUCCUCGGAGUGGGGCAGGGGUUGGGCAGAUCCUGAGAUACGCCGCCAGCGUCUUGCGGGGAAAACAGGAAGAAGGAAAAGGAAGAGGGGUUCUCGGAGGCAGCCUGCAGGUUUCACCACUGCAAAGGAGAGACUAUCAGCAAUACUCUCGAAGUCGAAACGCAGAAAGUAA